UUUUGGAACAAGAGGAGAGAUAGAAGGGAUUGAUGCGGGCCCUUGCAGGUGGAAAGCUGUGAAGACCGACAGAAUUGAGGGCAGCGAGGCAGCCAGGAGAAAAAGGAAAAUAAAAUAAGGGAAUCCAAGAGAGAAAAACGUGCAGGACUGAUGAAGUAAAUAAAAAAGAGAGGAAAUGGGCGCGGAAAAAAGGCAGCUGCCUUUGGGCAGCGCUAAGAAUAGAAUAGAAAAAUAAAAGGAAGGCUGUCUGGCAGCCUUGAUGAGCGUGGGAAUAAAAUAAGGAGGAAGUGAGGAGGUUAGGCGUGGAGAGAGAGAAGACUG
rnacentral:lncRNA from 1 species